UGGGGAAUUUUGGACAAUGGGCGCAAGCCUGAUCCAGCCAUGCCGCGUGAGUGAAGAAGGCCUUCGGGUUGUAAAGCUCUUUCGGACGGGAAGAAAUGGCGGACUCUAACAUAGCCUGUCGAUGACGGUACCGUAAGAAGAAGCACCGGCUAACUACGUGCCAGCAGCCGCGGUAAUACGUAGGGUGCGAGCGUUAAUCGGAAUUACUGGGCGUAAAGCGUGCGCAGGCGGUUUUGUAAGACAGAUGUGAAAUCCCCGGGCUUAACCUGGGAACUGCGUUUGUGACUGCAAGGCUGGAGUACGGCAGAGGGGGGUGGAAUUCCACGUGUAGCAGUGAAAUGCGUAGAGAUGUGGAGGAACACCGAUGGCGAAGGCAGCCCCCUGGGCCUGUACUGACGCUCAUGCACGAAAGCGUGGGGAGCAAACA
rnacentral:rRNA from 1 species